rnacentral:rRNA from 1 species
UAACGCGUGAGGAACCUGCCUCGAAGAGGGGGACAACAGUUGGAAACGACUGCUAAUACCGCAUAAGCCCACGACCCGGCAUCGGGUUGAGGGAAAAGGAGCAAUCCGCUUUGAGAUGGCCUCGCGUCCGAUUAGCUAGUUGGUGAGGUAAUGGCCCACCAAGGCAACGAUCGGUAGCCGGACUGAGAGGUUGAACGGCCACAUUGGGACUGAGACACGGCCCAGACUCCUACGGGAGGCAGCAGUGGGGAAUAUUGCACAAUGGGGGAAACCCUGAUGCAGCGACGCCGCGUGGAGGAAGAAGGUCUUCGGAUUGUAAACUCCUGUUGUUGAGGAAGAUAAUGACGGUACUCAACAAGGAAGUGACGGCUAACUACGUGCCAGCAGCCGCGGUAAAACGUAGGUCACAAGCGUUGUCCGGAAUUACUGGGUGUAAAGGGAGCGCAGGCGGGAAGACAAGUUGGAAGUGAAAUCUAUGGGCUCAACCCAUAAACUGCUUUCAAAACUGUUUUUCUUGAGUAGUGCAGAGGUAGGCGGAAUUCCCGGUGUAGCGGUGGAAUGCGUAGAUAUCGGGAGGAACACCAGUGGCGAAGGCGGCCUACUGGGCACCAACUGACGCUGAGGCUCGUAAGUGUGGGUAGCAAACAGGAUUAGAUACCCUGGUAGUCCACACCGUAAACGAUGAUUACUAGGUGU